rnacentral:rRNA from 1 species
GGAGGGCUGACUAGUGAGAAUGCAGACAUGAGUAGCGAUAAACAAAGUGAGAAUCUUUGUCUCCGUAAACCCAAGGUUUCCUGGGCCAGGCUCGUCCCCCCAGGGUUAGUCGGGACCUAAGGCGAGGCCGAAAGGCGUAGUCGAUGGAUAACAGGUUAAUAUUCCUGUACUAAGGUACAAUAUGGGACGCAUGAUGAAGGAUGGCACACACUAUGAUAUGUGAGUCUAGGCUUCGGCCGAAACGCGCCAUUUGAAUUUGUGCCGAGAAAACCGUACCGGCCCGUACCGUAUACCGACACAGGUAGGUGAGUCGAAUAGACUAAGGAGCGCGAGAGAAAUCUCUCCAAGGAACUCGGCAAAUUAGCCCCGUAACUUCGGGAGAAGGGGUGCCCAUUUCGGUGGGCCACAGUAAAUUGGGACUGGCGACUGUUUACCAAAAACACAGCUCUCUGCUAAGUCGUGAAGACGACGUAUAGGGAGUGACACGUGACCAAUGCGGAAAGAUUAAGGUGACUUGUUAGCACUUGAUGCGAAGCUCGGAGCCCAAGUCCCCGUGAAUGUCGGCCGUAACUAUAACGGUCCUAAGGUAGCGAAAUUCCUUGUCGGGUAAGUUCCGACCUGCACGAAUCGUGCAACGACCGGUCCGCUGUCUCGGAGAGAAUCUCGGCGAAGUUGUAAUUGCGGUGAAGAUGCCGCAUACCCGCAGUAGGACGGAAAGACCCUGUGCACCUUUACUGUAAGCAAGUAUUGUGUUCUGAUUAGUGAUACGUAGAGUAGGUGGGAGACUUUGAAGUGAUGGCUUAGGUUGUCAUGGAGUCGCAAUGUGAAACACCACUUUUUGUUAAUUAGGAUUCUAACAAUGAUUCCUCUGAAGCGAGGCAUUGGACAGUGCUUGCGGGUCAGUUUGACUGGGGCGGUUUCCUCCCAAAGAGUAACGGAGGAGCACUAAGGUACCUUCAGCAUGGUUAGCAACCAUGCGUAGAGCGUAUGCGUAGAAGGGUGCUUGACUGCGAGACCAACAAGUCGAGCAGGUACGAAAGUAGGUGCAAAUGAUCCGGUGGUAGAAAGUGGAAUUGCCAUCGCUCAACGGACAAAAGGUACGCCAGGGAUAACAGGCUGAUCGCGCCCAAGAGUUCAUAUCGACGGCGCGGUUUGGCACCUCGAUGUCGGCUCGUCACAUCCUGGGGCUGAAGAAGGUCCCAAGGGUUCGGCUGUUCGCCGAUUAAAGUGGCACGCGAGCUGGGUUCAGAACGUCGUGAGACAGUUCGGUCCUUAUCCACUGUGGGCGCAGGAAACUUGAGGGGUUCAAUCCCCAGUACGAGAGG